rnacentral:rRNA from 1 species
UGGGGAAUAUUGCACAAUGGAGGAAACUCUGAUGCAGCGACGCCGCGUGAGUGAAGAAGUAUUUCGGUAUGUAAAGCUCUAUCAGCAGGGAAGAAAAUGACGGUACCUGACUAAGAAGCACCGGCUAAAUACGUGCC